rnacentral:rRNA from 1 species
UACGUAGGGUGCGAGCGUUAAUCGGAAUUACUGGGCGUAAAGCGUGCGCAGGCGGUUCGUUGUGUCGGCGGUGAAAGCCCCGGGCUUAACCUGGGAAUGGCCGUUGAAACUGGCGAACUGGAGUGUGGCAGAGGGGGGUGGAAUUCCGCGUGUAGCAGUGAAAUGCGUAGAGAUCGGGAGGAACACCAGUGGCGAAGGCGGCCCUCUGGGCCGGGGCCUGACGCUGAGACGCGAGGGCGUGGGGAGCGAACGGGAU